rnacentral:rRNA from 1 species
GACGAACGCUGGCGGCGUGCUUAACACAUGCAAGUCGAACGGAAAGGCCCUGCUUUUGUGGGGUGCUCGAGUGGCGAACGGGUGAGUAACACGUGAGUAACCUGCCCUUGACUUUGGGAUAACUUCAGGAAACUGGGGCUAAUACCGGAUAGGAGCUCCUGCUGCAUGGUGGGGGUUGGAAAGUUUCGGCGGUUGGGGAUGGACUCGCGGCUUAUCAGCUUGUUGGUGGGGUAGUGGCUUACCAAGGGUUUGACGGGUAGCCGGCCUGAGAGGGUGACCGGCCACAUUGGGACUGAGAUACGGCCCAGACGCCUACGGGAGGCAGCAGUGGGGAAUAUUGCACAAUGGGCGGAAGCCUGAUGCAGCAACGCCGCGUGCGGGAUGACGGCCUUCGGGUUGUAAACCGCUUUCGCCUGUGACGAAGCGUGAGUGACGGUAAUGGGUAAAGAAGCACCGGCUAACUACGUG